rnacentral:rRNA from 1 species
GUGCCAGCAGCCUCGGUAAUACUGAGUGUGCGCUCGUUAAUCGGAAUUACUGGGCGUAACGCGCAUGCAGGCGGCCUGUUAAGUCAGAUGUGAAAGCCCGGGGCUUAACCUCGGAAUUGCAUUUGAAACUGGCAGGCUAGAGUCUUGUAGAGGGGGGUAGAAUUUCAGGUGUAGCGGUGAAAUGCGUAGAGAUCUGAAGGAAUACCAGUGGCGAAGGCGGCCCCCUGGACAAAGACUGACGCUCAGAUGCGAAAGCGUGGGGAGCAAACAGGAUUAGAUACCCCCGUAGUCC